AUUUCUCUCUGACCAUUUAUUGUUGAUAAACGAUCUACAUAUAUCCGAAACAUACCGCACCAGUGACCUCACGGAAAUGGCAUUUAGGGUUCAAGUUUAACACAGUUUUUUGGAUGGCAGACACAAUAUUCUUCCGUAACAUGUUUACGUGGCCUGGGUUUGAUUGUUUUCUUUUUGCUGCUGCAUGAAGUGUGCAUUGAUCGGAUAAAGUUGCCAGCUGCUGGUUGUUAUUAUUUGUUUGUCCUAAAGUUAUCAUACUCGAUACAUAUUCAGAUACGAGUAUGAGAAUAUGAUUUUCUGAUAUGAGAAUAUGAUUUUCUGAAUUCAGCAUAUAUUUACUGAAUACGUAUUCGUAUUUGACACUCACUUUUGAUGAGUCUUAAGAUAGGAUAGUUGUUAGUAGAAUGUGAAGGGCAUGUCCGUGUAUAUUUUUGUUUUGUUUUGUCUUUU
rnacentral:lncRNA from 1 species